rnacentral:lncRNA from 1 species
UAAACAUGUAAUCAUCAUUCAAGCCACUAUCUAAUACAGCAUGUUGGGAUGGAAGGAUUUUGUUUCACUCAGGCAUUCCCAGUUCCACCUUCCUUUCAUUUUGUGGAUUAGUCCUCCUGUAGGCCUUGCACAGGUGAAGAUCCUGGCUGUAUCUACUUAAGUCGACAGGCAACGGGGAGCUUUCGAAUAUUUGUGUGCAGAAGGCUGGAGGUCACAGAUGUAUGAUAUACUUAGUAAGUGCUGGGAGAAGAAAGAAAGGAGAUCUAUCAGAAAGGAGCGAACAAGGGAAGGAGGAAACAGAUCUACUCCACUACGCUAGCACGCAGAGGAGGAUGGAGAACGCAUCCAGGGAUUUAUUGCCCAAAAUGAUGCUCAAGACCCCUCACAUCAGCAGAAGAACAAAACGGUGGUACAGACUGGACAUAAUUGUCAAGAGGAAGAAAGAAGAGAAGGAAUAGAAUCAAACCAGAGAGCUCUUCUGUCUCAGACUCUAUCCUCAUAUCUCCCACCAGAGGCGUUUGACCAUUCCUGAAGACAGAGUGCUCAGAACAAGACAACGUUCGCAGCAGGGCUGGUCUGUGCGUCUUCCUGGAUCACAUCCAGGGGCUUCAUUCCUAAGGACUUUUUAAAUGUGUCCUCAUUUACAAAGUUUCUUCUUGGUCCCAGGAAAAACUCAGAGAUACGGUCUCUGAGUUUCAAAGACAAAAAACAAAAAUUCUCUCUUUGCUUUGUUUUAGUUUGCCACAGUCACCAUGGUUUGCUGAUAAUUGAGGCUAUAGAAAAUCUAAGUACUUGGAACCCCAGCAACAUUUAUAAACAUUUUGAAUUGUUAUAGUUUAUAGCCUUUUUCCCUUGCAGUCAUGUUCUGAAAAAAGGGAAAAAAAAGGACAUUAGUUGAACCUGUUCUCUGAAACUGCAUGUGUGACUUGUUUUUAAUUAUGGUUGAAUAUAUUGGGGAAAAAAUGACUUCCUGUUUACUUCAGGAAGACUAAACUGAUAUCAGGUAAACAACUGUAACUAAUGCUGACAACAUAGACAAAGGAAGACAGAACUUUUGCUGUAACUCUAAGAGCAUCCCAAGAGGGGUUAACAUGGAGACUGUUGCCUUGGGCCUUGUAACUUAUGCCAUAUACAAAACGCUGGGGAGCAGAGCUCAAGAGAGCAGGCAAGAC